ACUCAAAGGAAUAGACGGGGGCCCGCACAAGCGGUGGAGUAUGUGGUUUAAUUCGAAGCAACGCGAAGAACCUUACCUAGGUUUGACAUCCUCUGAUGUCCGGUAGAAAUAUCGGUUUCUAGCAAUAGACAGAGAGACAGGUGCUGCAUGGCUGUCGUCAGCUCGUGUCGUGAGAUGUUGGGUUAAGUCCCGCAACGAGCGCAACCCUUACCCUUAGUUGCCACCAUUAAGUUGGGCACUCUAGGGGGACUGCCGGUGAUAAACCGGAGGAAGGUGGGGAUGACGUCAAGUCCUCAUGGCCCUUACAUCUAGGGCUACACACGUACUACAAUGGUCGAGACAAAGCGAAGCGAGACCGCAAGGUGGAGCCAAACGCAAAAACACGAUCUCAGUUCGGAUAGUGGUCUGCAACCCGACCACUUGAAGUUGGAAUCGCUAGUAAUCGCGGAUCAGCAAGCCGCGGUGAAUACGUUCCCGGGCCUUGUACACACCGCCCGU
rnacentral:rRNA from 1 species